AUGAUUGGCCUAUUUUGGAACAUUAGAGGCCUGAAUGGGUCCAUCAAAUGUAAUAAACUGAAAGAGCCCAUUAUAGCUCAUAAGCCUGAUUUUAUUAGUAUUUCUGAGUCUAAGAAAGAAGACUUUACCCCUGUUCAAUUAGAAGCUUUUGACAUUAGAUCCUGUUAUACUUGGAAAUGGCUUCCUGCUAAUAACACUGCUGGAGGCAUCCUAGUAGGAAUUAGGGGAGAUCUCUUUGACAUCGUUUGUUGUGAUAUACACACUUACAGUGUUUCUUGCUUACUCCAAAACAAACAAGAUGGGUCUUCCUGGAGACUGGUCUCCAUUUAUGGUCCUGCUUAUGAACAAUACAAACUAGAUUUCAUUAAUGAAUUGCACAACUUGCUUACUGGGUAGACUGGUCCAACUCUGGUAGGUGGGGAUUUUAAUUUGAUUAGGGAGGCCAGUGAGAAAAACACUGGUCUGAUUAACCAGCACUGGGCAGACUUGUUCAAUUACUGGAUUAAUAGAUUUGGUCUUCUUGAGCUGAAGAUUAAUGGCAGGAAAUACACCUGGGGCAAUAACCAAGACUCUUUGGUUAUGGCCACUAUAGAUAGGGUUUUCAUGUCCACUAAUUGGGCAACAUCUUUCCCUAAUGUUCAGCUCAGAGCUCUUCCUAGGGUUGGAAGUGAUCACACCCCUCUGGUAUUGAACACUUGUGCUUUCCCCCCCCCCUAA
rnacentral:rRNA from 1 species